GGUACUUGUACCGACUGGAUGAGCAGCGAACGGGUGAGUAACGCGUGGGGAAUCUGCCUUUGAGCGGGGGACAACAUUUGGAAACGAAUGCUAAUACCGCAUAAAAACUUUAAACACAAGUUUUAAGUUUGAAAGAUGCAAUUGCAUCACUCAAAGAUGAUCCCGCGUUGUAUUAGCUAGUUGGUGAGGUAAAGGCUCACCAAGGCGAUGAUACAUAGCCGACCUGAGAGGGUGAUCGGCCACAUUGGGACUGAGACACGGCCCAAACUCCUACGGGAGGCAGCAGUAGGGAAUCUUCGGCAAUGGACGAAAGUCUGACCGAGCAACGCCGCGUGAGUGAAGAAGGUUUUCGGAUCGUAAAACUCUGUUGGUAGAGAAGAACGUUGGUGAGAGUGGAAAGCUCAUCAAGUGACGGUAACUA
rnacentral:rRNA from 1 species